rnacentral:lncRNA from 1 species
AUGGCAGCUGUGUGCCAGCCACGACGGGCCUUGGUGGAAAUACCUGCUCCACAGCCCAAAAUUGCCGCUCGAAUGAGGAGGUCCUACUUGGAAAUAUUAAGUUCACGUAUGGUCCCGACCCCGUCCCCACUUCCAAGAGGAAGAAACACAGCCGCAAACACAAAGCGUAUGCAGUCAUUGGACUUGGCAGUUGGUGGGGCGUGGAGAGGAAGGCUAGAGGAGCAGUGCGAGAAGAUGGACGAGCACCACACACCGCUCUCCAAACAGCAGCUUGUGCAGCUCAUUAGAUCCCUCAUCUUGGUCGAACAGAGCCAAGAGCCCAGGAUCAUGGCAUCAGACCUGAAGUAUCUACAGGAAGACCUGCAGCUAAAGAAGGCCAAUGUUUAUAGGUCCAUACCUUACUCACGAUUUGGAUCCAACAGGGACGCUCACUGCUACAGAAAGGCGUACCCUCACCUGGUGGCAUUCAAAGUUUCGUGUCAGGAGUGGGGUCAAGUUCUGCUCAGGAACAAAGAUUGGGACGCUGUGUUGGAGCACUCGCUGAUGGCGUGGCGUUACACCAGCGAGCUGCCGCAGUGGGACACUGCAAGCCACAACGCCCUUCGAGAGCAGUGUUACAGCAUCCUGGCGGCUCACAGCCUCACCGCUCUCCAGCACUAUUCCCCCGAACCCAACAGAGGACGCGAGCUGCUCAGAAGGUAACACUCAUUUUGCUCUGAUGCGGGAUGCCACGGCACCCACCCGCCCCCUUCCUUGUAGUGAGGUUUAGGCAGCGCUACACCAGAGGAUUGCACUAUAAACACCUCAGUUUGGUUAGUACAUAAUACUUGUACAUGCAUGUGGGUGGUGUUUAUAUACACCAACGGCUUUCCACAACCUCUCUGCUGAUGGGCUGGCAACAAACUAUUGACUUGAAUAUCAAGUUUAAGCAAAGCAUUAUGGACAUCCUACUAAAGUAUGCCACCUGUUGAGUGCAAGUUUACACACCUUUCAACACUGAUCCACAGAUCACAAAUGUGUUUGCCUCUCCACUUUCUUCCAUACGCCUGUCAGUCAUUUUAGCAGCUAAAGUGAGUUGAGCUUCACUUUGUGUUCUGAGAUUGUUGCUAACAUUUGCUAAUGUUCUGUUGGCACUAUGUAGACUCUCAAUAAACUUGGCAGCCAAAAAGCUUUUAUUUAUAGAUUUAAGAUUAUUUUUAGAGCAAAAACAUAUAUAUAUAUAUAUAUAUAUCAGGAAAGUUAUUAGUGCAAGUGUGACUAGAUGCUUUUGGAUCAACCCUAACUAACAGAUGGCUCUAAUCUUUUUGUCUCUAGACUGAAGAUGGCUCAGCUGUAUAGCCAGUCAAUUGUUCCCUGCAUACAGGAGUUGCAGAGGAUAAUGGAAUGUCUUGAUGACUCGUCCAUGGAUACAAAAUGAAAGGAGAAUCCGGCAAAAGAGUGCGAAUUGUGGAUGACCAAAAAAAGGCAAAAACGUGCUUUAUGUGUGGUGAUGGGCCAGGAACAUUGAACACAUUAGUGUUUGUGUAAAACCACUACAAUAUUCUUCCAAAGGGCACGGUGGCAAGUGCAAAAUGAACAAAAUGAAUAAUGCAGGCUUCAAAGGGUAAUAAAUAACACUCCCUAAAUGGCUGAAAAUGGCAUUUUAACAGCAUGUGGAAAGUGUUAUUUUAGGAGUUGUUGCACUGCACAAUGGCAGGGUAUUAAUUAAUGUAACAUUUUGUUCAUACAUUACCAGCCUAUAUGAAAAUGGAGAAGGAGCAUUUACAUUCUGAAAAGCAUUCAGUUGGUGCUUACUGUUAAAAUGUUUGUAUGCUUUUAGACAUCAUAUAGUUUAGUCUGUGUCGAUGGCUGAAAUAUAAAAAGUAUGAAAUUUGCCCCGCUUGUUUUUGCAGGGUUGUGUGUGUGUGUAUAUAUGUUCUUGUUACUGUUUACAUUACUUGAAGCUGUGGCCUUUGUCUUAGACUAUAGUAUCUUGUGUAUCUUGUGUGUACAGAUACUCAUCUGUCAAUGAUUGCACUGUUGUUUGUCCUGAAAACUUGAACAAUUUUGAUAAGACUCCUAAUUUAAUUAAAGACGUUCUUUAAACUGCACUCAUGUGUCUUUGUUCUGUGCGAGUGCUUUGCAUGCGUGCCAAGCACUGUGAACGACUGGAGAAUUUGAGGACAGUGCUGUUUUCAUGUAGUAACUCUGAAGUUUCUAAGUGUGGUUUUUUUGUUUGUUUUUUUUGUAGGAAAACUGUCAAUAGACUGUAAUGGUUUUUCCAACCACUCUGUUUCUAUGCUCACAGUUUUAUCUAAAAUAGAUCAUAGGCUGUGGCUUCCAGGCUCCGAG